UACGUAGGGUGCAAGCGUUGUCCGGAAUUAUUGGGCGUAAAGAGCUCGUGGGCGGUUUGUCGCGUCGAAUGUGAAAACCCGGGGCUCAACCCCGGGCCUGCAUUCGAUACGGGCAGGCUAGAGUUCGGUAGGGGAGUCUGGAAUUCCUGGUGUAGCGGUGAAAUGCGCAGAUAUCAGGAGGAACACCGGUGGCGAAGGCGGGACUCUGGGCCGAUACUGACGCUGAGGAGCGAAAGCGUGGGGAGCAAACAGG
rnacentral:rRNA from 1 species